rnacentral:rRNA from 1 species
AGAGAGAGACAUGCGCGCAUAUCAAUAAGCGGAGGAAAAGAAACUAACAAGGAUUCCCCUAGUAACGGCGAGUGAAGCGGGAAGAGCUCAAAUUUGAAAUCUUAAAGGGUUCCCUUUACGAAUUGUAGUUUAAAGAAGUGUUUUCUGUUGAGGUUUUGGUAAAAGUUCUUUGGAAUAGGACAUCAUAGAGGGUGAGAAUCCCGUAUUUGACCUUUACUUUCAACUUUGUGAUACACUUUCAAAGAGUCGGAUUGUUUGGGAAUGCAGUCCAAAAUGGGUGGUAAAUUUCAUCUAAAGCUAAAUAUUGGCGAGAGACCGAUAGCGAACAAGUACCGUGAGGGAAAGAUGAAAAGAACUUUGAAAAGAGAGUUAAACAGUACGUGAAAGUUGUCAAAAGGGAAGCGUUUGACACCAGUGUUGUUUUUCUGAAAAUCAAUUAAAGAACUGUUUAUGCUAAGUUGUUUAGACUUUAUCAGCUAACUGUUUAGUUUUGAGCUUUUCUUUAAUGCACUUUUCAGUCAACAAGUCAACAUCAAUUUCUUUUGCUGUAAAAAAGCUUGAGGAAGGUGGCUUGAGAUUCGUCUUAAGUGUUUAUAGCCUCUUGCCUAUGCAGUCGGAGAGAUUGAGGUCUGCAGCGUAGAUCCUUCGGGGCUAAACGCAUUUGUGCUAAGUUAUAGCAUUUUAUAGACAACUUGUUGACUAUGAUUUGUCUUGUAGCUUACUCGCUUAUGUUAUUUUACCUACGCUUAGGAUGUUGAGCGCAUGUCUCUCUCU